rnacentral:tRNA from 1 species
GUAGCUCAGUGGUAGAGUGCUUACCUAGCAUGCAUGAGGCCCUGGGUUCAAUCCCUAGC